AACGAACGCUGGCGGCAUGCCUAACACAUGCAAGUCGAACGAGACCUUCGGGUCUAGUGGCGCACGGGUGCGUAACGCGUGGGAACCUGCCCUUAGGUUCGGAAUAACUCCCCGAAAGGGGUGCUAAUACCGGAUAAUGUCUUCGGACCAAAGAUUUAUCGCCUUUGGAUGGGCCCGCGUUGGAUUAGCUAGUUGGUAGGGUAAAAGCCUACCAAGGCGACGAUCCAUAGCUGGUCUGAAAGGAUGAUCAGCCACACUGGGACUGAGACACGGCCCAGACUCCUACGGGAGGCAGCAGUGGGGAAUAUUGGACAAUGGGCGAAAGCCUGAUCCAGCAAUGCCGCGUGAGUGAUGAGGGCCUUAGGGUUGUAAAGCUCUUUUACCCGGGAUGAUAAUGACAGUACCGGGAGAAUAAGCUCCGGCUAACUCCGUG
rnacentral:rRNA from 1 species